rnacentral:lncRNA from 1 species
CAUGACAGCACUGGUCGGCUGUCUGGGCUCCCAGUCUGCAAAUCCAAACAUGAAGGUCAGGACCUUGGUGAGUUUGUUCUGAGGCAAGAUAGGUAUCAUGGUGGAGGCUCACAGGAAAACACCACCGGCUCAGGAAUGACAACAAAACGAGCGUCCAAACAACUGGCAACAAAACGCUGACUUCAUAAAGUGUCCAAACAACUGACAACAAAAAAUA